GUUUCCCCUGAUGUCCUCGUCUGUCCCGGGACGCCAUCGGGACGGUUCCUGUGACGUCCCUCGCAUGGGCGCCCGGGGACAUCGGAAGAGGCACUGGGCAGGAGUGGGCAGGACGCCCUCCCUGGGGUCCAUCUCCUGUUUUCUCAGGACCCACUGAAGGGCAAUAGGGUAUCGGGAGGAAGACCUCUGGGGGUAUGUGCCCUGCCGUCCACGUGGCUCCUCGCUGCUGGGGGUCCCUGACCUCCUGGUGGGGGCUGCUUGGGCCCCUACGUUGGGGUCCCCCCUCCACACCGUCCUCAGGAGGGGCCACCAUGUGCAGCCCACGCGGACGGUGGGCCAGGGGUCUUUCUGUCAAGCUGGUGGUGGAGCCUCAGACCCCGGGCCCUAAAGGCCUAUGGUCACGUCAGGACUCGGCCGGGCCCUGGGUGUGCGGGGACGACGGAGACGGACUCACGACUGAGGGCAGCCGCCCUGGCAGCCACGAUGGGCCCAGCAGGAAACACAGGAACGAAAGGUGGGAAGGGAGGGGUCAGGGCCGCUGGGGCCUCGACGGUGGACGAGCGAACCCAUUGGUUUGAAUCAGGUCCCCACAAGGUGCACCCGUGUCCCGACCCCCGACCCCUCUGCCCCGUGAGGUGGCACAGCCACAGGCCCAGGACCGGGACGGGGACGCCUUUGGGGCCACGGCUGUGUCAGGCUGGGACCGCUGCCCAGAGACAGGACGCGGCCGGCUGCCUCCACGCCGUGCAAAAUUGAUGAGGAGGAAGCCGUCCCGACCUGGACGGGGAACGUGAGCCAGGCUGAAAGCGAUCCGGCCGCCAUCUGCUCCCCCGGCGCCCGCCAGCCACAGGGUCACGGGCCGGGGACACCAGCCAGGACGGGGGUGCAGAGACCCCACUCCUCACUCGCCGGGGAGCAGACCCCCCGCACCCGGCCUGGUCCACUCAGACCCUCCGUCUCGUCUGGGGACGUCUGUGGUCGUCACACGCGGGAGCUCCCGGCAUCCAGUUGGCGGGGGACCAGGAACGCUGCUCACCCCACACAGCGCUCAGGACGCCCCCAGAGACGACCCAGCAGCCCGCGGGGUUAAAUUAAAGCCCCCGGGGUCACCUGCAGCUGUGACCCCUGGAGGUCGGGCCUCCGUUUCGGGGGCGACAUGGGGUCCUGGUUCUGGAAGGAUCCAGGUGCAGAGGGAGGAACGUGCCUCCUGGGGGGCCCGGCGGGGCCAGGACAGAGCGGCCCUCGGGUUUCACAACGGGCGACACGCGAAACCCGAGACGGAGCCGAGAGGGGGAGACGCUGCCGCAUCAAUAGUUCAUGGCGGGAACCGGACACCCCAGCUCACGUCGCGCAGCAGCGGCUCCGGUGGCCUGGGGGUGACGACCAGCACAGGCCCGGCCCCC
rnacentral:lncRNA from 1 species